rnacentral:rRNA from 1 species
UACGAAGGGGGCUAGCGUUGCUCGGAAUUACUGGGCGUAAAGGGCGCGUAGGCGGGUCGUUAAGUUGGGGGUGAAAGCCCAGGGCUCAACCCUGGAAUUGCCUUCAAUACUGGCGACCUUGAGUAUGGCAGAGGUGUGUGGAACUCCGAGUGUAGAGGUGAAAUUCGUAGAUAUUCGCAAGAACACCAGUGGCGAAGGCGGCUCACUGGCCCGGUACUGACGCUGAGGUGGCGGAAAAGCGUGGGGAGCGAACAGG